rnacentral:rRNA from 1 species
CCUACGGGAGGCACCAGUGGGGAAUAUUGGACAAUGGGCGAAAGCCUGAUCCAGCAAUGCCGCGUGAGUGAUGAAGGCCUUAGGGUUGUAAAGCUCUUUUACCCGGGAUGAUAAUGACAGUACCGGGAGAAUAAGCCCCGGCUAACUCCGUGCCAGCAGCCGCGGUAAUACGGAGGGGGCUAGCGUUGUUCGGAAUUACUGGGCGUAAAGCGCACGUAGGCGGCUUUGUAAGUUAGAGGUGAAAGCCCAGGGCUCAACCCUGGAAUUGCCUUUAAGACUGCAUCGCUAGAAUCAUGGAGAGGUGAGUGGAAUUCCGAGUGUAGAGGUGAAAUUCGUAGAUAUUCGGAAGAACACCAGUGGCGAGGGCGACUCACUGGACAUGUAUUGACGCUGAGGUGCGAAAGCGUGGGGAGCAAACAGGAUUAGAUACCCUUGUAGUC